rnacentral:rRNA from 1 species
GGUUUAAUUCGAGGCUACACGAAGAACCUUACCAGGGUUUGACAUGCAAGUGGUAGGAAUCCGAAAGGUGACCGACCCUUCGGGGAGCUUGCACAGGUGCUGCAUGGCUGUCGUCAGCUCGUGUCGUGAGAUGUUCGGUUAAGUCCGCUAACGAGCGCAACCCUCGUCGUGUGUUAUACGUGUCACACGAUACUGCCGGUAUCAAGCCGGAGGAAGGUGGGGAUGAUGUCAAGUCAGCAUGGCCUUUAUAUCCUGGGCUACACACACGCUACAAUGGCAGAUACAAUAGGUUGCGAAACCGCGAGGUGGAGCCAAUCCUCAAAGUCUGUCUCAGUUCAGAUUGUAGGCUGCAACUCGCCUGCAUGAAGUUGGAGUUGCUAGUAAACGCAGGUCAGCUAUACUGCGUUGAAUACGUUCCCGGGGUUU